AUCCCUGGGGUGUGCGUGACACAUUCAUAUUUAUAACCAACAUAUUUUAAAAGGGAAUCAAAUCUCUUUCGGCGGCGUGUAUGCUCAAAUUUAUUUGAGAAACCCAGGAACCGAAAGGACCGUACCCACCUGCGAGAGCAGGUUUUAAAUAUUGAAAUGCACGGCACAUUGGGGA
rnacentral:other from 1 species